rnacentral:rRNA from 1 species
CUAGUCUUGCCGGUGGAUCACUCGGCUCGUGGGUCGAUGAAGAUCGCAGCCAAAUGCGAUAGCUUGUGCGAACUGCAGAUAUUCUGAGCACUGAGAUGUCGAAUGUACAUUACGCCUUGGGACCUACCUCCCUUGGCACGCCUGGUUCAGGGUCGUUU